AAUCAACGCUGGCGGCGUGCCUCAGACAUGCAAGUCGAACGAUUAAACUUUCCUUCGGGAAAGAUAUAAAGUGGCGCACGGGUGAGUAACACGUAGGUAAUGUACCUUUGGGUGGGGAAUAACUUAGGGAAACUUAAGCUAAUACCGCAUAAUGCAGCGGCUCCUUCGGGAGACAGUUGUUAAAGAUUUAUCGCCUAAAGAAGCAGCCUGCGGCAGAUUAGCUAGUUGGUAAGGUAACGGCUUACCAAGGCGACGAUCUGUAUCCGACCUGAGAGGGUGGUCGGACACACUGACACUGAAUAACGGGUCAGACUCCUACGGGAGGCAGCAGUCGGGAAUUUUGGG
rnacentral:rRNA from 1 species